GGGGGAUAUUGCACAAUGGGCGAAAGCCUGAUGCAGCGACGCGGCGUGAAGGAUGAAGUAUUUCGGUAUGUAAACUUCUAUUAGCAGGGAAGAAAAUGACGGUACCUGACUAAGAAGCCCCGGCUAACUACGUGCCAGCAGCCGCGGUAAUACGUAGGGGGCAAGCGUUAUCCGGAUUUACUGGGUGUAAAGGGAGCGUAGACGGCUGUGCAAGUCUGAAGUGAAAGGCAUGGGCUCAACCUGUGGACUGCUUUGGAAACUGUGCAGCUAGAGUGUCGGAGAGGUAAGUGGAAUUCCUAGUGUAGCGGUGAAAUGCGUAGAUAUUAGGAGGAACACCAGUGGCGAAGGCGGCUUACUGGACGAUGACUGACGUUGAGGCUCGAAAGCGUGGGGAGCAAACAGGAUUAGAUACCCUGGUAGUCCACGCCGUAAACGAUGACUGCUAGGUGUCGGGUAGC
rnacentral:rRNA from 1 species